rnacentral:lncRNA from 1 species
GUAGGUUAUAAGGUUGUUUUUCAUAUUAGCUGCACGCAUUGCAUUUUGGGUAUUUGCGCAUUGCAUUUUCGAUCUAUGAUCAGUGUUGAUUAAAAUUGAGAAUUUUGCUAGGUACAUGAAUUAAAUUUGCUGCCUUGCUCGCUCUCUGCUGUAGCAAUAAUCGUUACAUGUCAAAAUUUCCCCCACUAUAAUAAAAUAACUGGACCUCCCCUUCUGAACUAAUACUUUACCAUGCCCCCCCCUUUUUUCGGUCAAAAAUACCUCAUGACCCACCCCCUUUUUUUGCCAGCCCACCCCCGGUCAUAAAUAAUGAAUGGUCUCUAGCAUAAGCAUAGUCAAAAAAAUUUUUAAACAUA